rnacentral:rRNA from 1 species
AUUGAACGCUGGCGGCAGGCCUAACACAUGCGAGUCGAGCGGAUGAAGGGAGCUUGCUCCUGGAUUCAGCGGCGGACGGGUGAGUAAUGCCUAGGAAUCUGCCUGGUAGUGGGGGAUAACGUCCGGAAACGGGCGCUAAUACCGCAUACGUCCUGAGGGAGAAAGUGGGGGAUCUUCGGACCUCACGCUAUCAGAUGAGCCUAGGUCGGAUUAGCUAGUUGGUGGGGUAAAGGCCUACCAAGGCGACGAUCCGUAACUGGUCUGAGAGGAUGAUCAGUCACACUGGAACUGAGACACGGUCCAGACUCCUACGGGAGGCAGCAGUGGGGAAUAUUGGACAAUGGGCGAAAGCCUAAUCCAGCCAUGCCGCGUGUGUGAAGAAGGUCUUCGGAUUGUAAAGCACUUUAAGUUGGGAGGAAGGGCAGUAAGUUAAUACCUUGCUGUUUUGACGUUACCAACAGAAUAAGCACCGGCUAACUUUGUG